GCCACUGUGCAGUGGCAUUAUCAUAGCCCAUGAGGUUUAACGAAGGUGUGAUUAUUGCUGUUUGUAUACCAAUGGCAGAAACCUCAGAAGUAAAAAGGGGGAAUUAGAAUACUUGGCUUCAAG
rnacentral:snRNA from 1 species